GAAUAGCAGGGGACGAAACAGAGAAGGGAGAAAGGAAGAAAAGAAAAGGAAAAAUAAGGUUUUAAAGGUUCCAAGUUAAUUUGCUAAUGUUGUCUCGAAAAAUCUCGGCUAAGCAAGGAAAAAUGGCAAAGACAAAGGGAGUUAGCUCGAGAAAAUACGGUUAAGUAAAGAUAGAACGUUGAAUCAGCAUUCCAGGCCGAUCUCGAAUUCAAUGAGGUAAAGUGUGUUAAUUAUGGGUGAUGGCAUGUACCUAGGGUGUCUUAUGUGUGUGUCAUUAUUAAAUUGUAAAUGUAAGGAUGAAAUAAAUAAAUUUAGGUUGGUUAUGAUAUAAAAUAGGAUUUGACUAAUUUGGUAUGAAUUUGAAUUUGUGUGAGACAAUGU